AUUCUGAUAAGAAUUUUGGUUUGUGUAUACCAUUUUUUUUAAUCCAACAUGCAAACGAUUUGCUUUAUUCCAGUAGUUGAAAGUAUAUUUAAAAUGUAAAUCAACUCACCAAUUACGCUCCAAUUUUUUUGGGGCGGCUGUACUGUAGUUUACUUUUUCCACCCCUCCUCUUCCUCCUCCCACUAAAAACAAACAAGAUGGCAGCAACCGUUUUUGGUUCUGGGCCGGGCUCAAUGUGGGCGGAGUCAUACUUCGGGGCCGGGCUCAAAGUGGAUGGAAUCAAACGGCGGGGCCGGGCUCAAUGUGGCAGAGUCAUACUUCGGGGUCAGGCUCAAAAUACUUUGGGGCCGGGCUCAAAGUGGGUGGAGUCAAACGCGUUAACCCGAACCCUUCCCGUCUCCUUCAAGGUCACCCAAGUUCUUAAUCGAACCUGACCUACAUGGAUAAAAAUAUAAACCAUAGAAGUGAGACUGUCAUUAUGCAUAAUGUACUUUGUAAUAUUCAUGUUAUACCAGUGCAGUGGUACAUUUUUAUAUGACCAACUACCACACCGAUGUUAGCAUCGGUUAAUUAGUGCCCAUUUGCACUUGAGGUAGCUAAUUGCUCUCAAUGAGGGAAUCUUAUUUGGACAAAUUUGCCUACUUGAGCAGUAAGCCUAGGUUUGUAGUUAUGUAAUUGAUUUGAUCGUUGAUUUUCUGUGUUUCUUCAAUGUAUGGCUUGUUGUGUUUGGCUGGCUCUAAAUGUGUAUUGUUGAUGCCAUUCCCUUAGUUACACAUAGCGAGUCUACACAAAGUGUAAAUACAAUAAUGAAAUCACCUGGUCCCAACAUGCAUGGCAAGUCAAGAAAAGUCAUUGUAACUUGUCCACACUGCAAACUGAAGUUAAAUAAGAAAAACUUCAAAACACAUUUACGAAGAAAGCAUACACAUUGCUUUGAAACAGUGUCCAAUGCAAGAUUUUUGUCAGAAACAUUGCUCAGAUCUUGUCCUGUGGACCUUGGAGGACUUUUGUUGUGGAUGAUGUUCAGGAAAACAUGCAGCAAAUUAGGCCAUGGUGGCGCCUAGUUCUCCUGCAGAACUUUCCCAUGCCAAGAGAGGUUGAAAGAUCGAAAAAGGUGGCGAAAACAAAACCCACUACAGGAUGAUGUAGAAGACGUCCUCCACACCAAGAAGUCACAGCAUGUCACAUCAGCAUCCAGCUCUGCAGGAUCAGAUGAUACUGAAAACAAAAUGCACGGCGAGCUGUGAACUGGGAAGCAGAUGUUCUUCUAAGGGACACCUUGGAGGCAGCAAGGUGGUGCGAACGCCAAACAUUUAAAGGCACUGUUUCCCUCCCUAGUGUAAUUGGGAUGGACGGGGAAUACCCCAUUACAACCCUUAAAGAACUACGGUGGUAUGAUGGCCUGGAUGAAGAGGAAAAUAUUCUCAAGGAACCAUUCAUGUUACAGAGAAAUUAAGAUGUUCUAUGUGGAGGAAGUUGACAACAAGAAAAUGACUGCCUUUGCCUCUUUUGAGGAGCAGGAGUGAAGCCAUUUUUGAGGAGUGGUCAAACCUUGUUUUUGUCUGCUGUGUUAAUUGUUUCAAUUGUUAAUUGUGUUAAGUUGUUUAGUAAAGAUGACGUUGAAGUCACAAGUCUCUGAUCUCUUUACUGGAG
rnacentral:lncRNA from 1 species